GGGGGGACCAUCCUCCAAGGCUAAAUACUCCUGACUGACCGAUAGUGAACCAGUACCGUGAGGGAAAGGCGAAAAGAACCCCUGUGAGGGGAGUGAAAUAGAACCUGAAACCGUGUACGUACAAGCAGUAGGAGCCCACUUGUUGGGUGACUGCGUACCUUUUGUAUAAUGGGUCAGCGACUUAAUUUUAGUAGCAAGGUUAACCGUUUAGGGGAGCCGUAGGGAAACCGAGUCUUAACUGGGCGUCAUAGUUGCUAGGAUUAGACCCGAAACCGAGUGAUCUAGCCAUGGGCAGGUUGAAGGUGAGGUAACACUUACUGGAGGACCGAACCGACUAAUGUUGAAAAAUUAGCGGAUGACUUGUGGCUAGGGGUGAAAGGCCAAUCAAACUCGGAGAUAGCUGGUUCUCCCCGAAAGCUAUUUAGGUAGCGCCUCGGACGAAUACUACUGGGGGUAGAGCACUGGUUAAGGCUAGGGGGUCAUCCCGACUUACCAACCUUUGCAAACUCCGAAUACCAGUAAGUAAUAUCCGGGAGACACACGGCGGGUGC
rnacentral:rRNA from 1 species